rnacentral:rRNA from 1 species
CUCCUACGGGGGGCAGGCAGUGGGGAAUUUUGCGCAAUGGGGAAACCUGACGCAGCAACGCCGCGUGGAGGAUGAAGUACUUCGGUACGUAAACUCCUUUCGAUCGGGACGAUAAUGACGGUACCGGAACGAAGAAGCCCCGGCUAACUUCGUGCCAGGCAGCCGCGGUAAUUC